rnacentral:rRNA from 1 species
AACGAACGCUGGCGGCAGGCCUAACACAUGCAAGUCGAGCGGACCUUUCGGGGUCAGCGGCGGACGGGUGAGUAACGCGUGGGAAUAUGCCCUUCUCUACGGAAUAGCCCUGGGAAACUGGGGGUAAUACCGUAUACGCCCUUUGGGGGAAAGAUUUAUCGGGGAAGGAUUAGCCCGCGUUGGAUUAGGUAGUUGGUGGGGUAAUGGCCUACCAAGCCGACGAUCCAUAGCUGGUUUGAGAGGAUGAUCAGCCACACUGGGACUGAGACACGGCCCAGACUCCUACGGGAGGCAGCAGUGGGGAAUCUUAGACAAUGGGGGCAACCCUGAUCUAGCCAUGCCGCGUGAGUGAUGAAGGCCUUAGGGUUGUAAAGCUCUUUCAGCUGGGAAGAUAAUGACGGUACCAGCAGAAGAAGCCCCGGCUAACUCCGUG